AUUGAACGCUGGCGGCAGGCCUAACACAUGCAAGUCGAGCGGAUCGGCAGCCGGGUGCGUAAUGCCUAUGAAUCUGCCUGGUCGUGGGGGAUAACGUCCGGAACCGGGAGCUAAUGCCGCAUCCUCUCAGCUUAGCCUAGGUGGGAUUAGCUAGUUGGUGGGGUAAGGGCCUACCCAGGCGUCGAUCCGUACCUGGUCUGAGAGGAUGAUCAGUCACACUGGAACUGAGACACGGUCCAGACUCCUACGGGAGGCAGCAGUGGGGAAUAUUGGACAAUGGGCGAAAGCCUGAUCCAGCCAUGCCGCGUGUGUGAAGAAGGUCUUCGGAUUGUAAAGCACUUUAAGUGGGGAGGCAUUACCAACAGAAGAAGCACCGGCUAACUCCGUGCCAGCCGCCGCGGUAAUUC
rnacentral:rRNA from 1 species